rnacentral:rRNA from 1 species
AUGAAGAAGCCAUCGACGCUUCUCCGAUCGCUCUCUACACGCCUCUCUGCGCGGCUCGCGCCGUCGCCGGCGGUGGCCCCAUGGCCGCCGGUGCGCUCCGCCUACGACCGCUGGCUGGCCGCCGAGCUCGACGAGCUCCGCGCCGACCCGAUCGCCCCGUGCACCAGCGCCGCCUGGCUCGGCCGCGCCAUCGGUCUCGCCGCCGCCGCGCAGAGACGGCUCGUCGCGUCGGCGACGCCGGCCCCGCCAGCCGGCAUUGACCGCAAGACGAUCGACGAGUGCGUGGAGGACACGGCGGAGCUGCUUGACGCGUGCGCCGGGCUCAGGAACCGCCUCGACCUGAUCAGGAGCUACGCCUCGUCCAUGCGCAUCGCGCUGCACUGGCUCGAAGGCCGCGGCGGAGGGGCGACAGCGCGGCGCCGCGCGGCCGCGGCGUUCGCCGAGUGCGAGGCCGUGGAGCGGCGGUGCGGGGCGGAGCUCGCCAAGUGCGGGUCCAACCUGCGCAAGCUCGGCGAGAGGGCGCUUCACGCCAGGCACCCUUCCGGCGGCAGAGCGCAGUGCGAGGAGUCCCUGGCCGGCGCGCGCGCGACGGCGCUCCUUGCCGUGGGAGCCCUCGGCGUUGCGCUGGCGUUCCGGUCGCGCCGUGCCGUUCCCGGCAUCGCGCACGCCGGCGGCGGCAAGGGCGGAGCGGUGCCCUGGGAGUGCGCGCUCCAGGAGGUGCAGAAGCACGUCAAGGACGAGUACGAGCGCCGCAGGAAGGAGGGUGUGCCGUGCAUGGCCGAGCUCGACGCCGCGGCCGCCGACGGCCGGACGGUGAAAAGCGCGCUGACCACGGGCGGCCGGCACCUGUCGGAGACCGCGGUUGCGGCGGCGAAGAGGAGGUGCGACGAGCUGGAGGACAAGGUGUCUGUGCUCGAGGAAACCAUCGGCGAGCUGCAUAGGGAGCUCAUAAGCGUUAGGAUGGUGCUCUUGGAGUGGUCACAGAGUGCAAGAGGACAUGAGGUUCUCAGGUUGUGA